UACGUAGGGCGCAAGCGUUUGUCCGGAAUUAUUGGGCGUAAAGAGCUCGUAGGCGGUUUUGUCGCGUCUGCUGUGAAAACUCGAGGCUCAACCUCGGGCUUGCAGUGGGGUACGGGCAGACUAGAGUGCGGUAGGGGGUGACUGGAAUUCCUGGUGUAGCGGUGGAAUGCGCAGAUAUCAGGAGGAACACCGAUGGCGAAGGCAGGUCACUGGGCCGCAACUGACGCUGGAGGAGCGAAAAGCAUGGGGGAGCGAACAGG
rnacentral:rRNA from 1 species